GUUAUAUUUAUAGGUGAGUUUGGUGAUGGCUCUGAUUGAACGCUGUCCAAAUGCUUGACACAUGCUAAUCGUACGUUUAAUUUAUAGCUUUUCAUAUAUUAGUAUUUGAGCCCCAUUAUUUUUCGUAGUGGUGUAAUAUAUUAUUCCUUCGGGUCCUUCCGUAAGGAAGGACCCCUAAGGUAACAAUAUAUUGAAGGUUUAUUAAAAGUGGUGUACAGGUGAGUGUAAGAUAUUCGGCCGACCUUGAAGAGAGGGAAAAGAAAUACCUCAUAAAUAAAAUAGUUAUUUAAUAGCUAUAUUUGGAUAAAGGGUGUAAAACCGCUUUAAGAGGAAAAGGUAUCUGUCGGGAUAGGUAGUAGUUAAGGUAAUGGCUUAACUAGCCAAUAAUUCUCGGAGUCGAAGCUGAAAUGGUUGAUCGACCACAUUGGGAAUGAAAAAAUCCCAAGGCAUAAUUGUACAGCAGUGAGGAAUUUUGGUCAAUGCGCUAACGGCUGAACUGGCAACUUGGAUGAACGGACCGACUCUUACCCAAAGGUUGCAUUAUUAUUAUUUUUAUGUAACUAGUAGGGUAAUGGUGCAGGAGAUCUUUUUUAGGAGUAAAGUUCUAAAUAUAUGAUUGAUAAUGACAAUAUAUAUAUUAUGUCCUGACCAAUUACGUGCCAGCAGUCGCGGUAAUACGUAUGGGACUAGUGUUAUUCAUCUUAAAUAGGUUUAAAGGGUUCCUAGACGGCUAAUGCCACCUUUAAAAGGUAACUAGUUAGCUAGAGUUUUAUGUGAAGAGGUCGUACUUUUGAGUGGAGAGUUUAAAUUCUUUGAUACCUGGAGGACGGAUAAAGGCGAAGGCAACCUCUUAUGUAAAAACUGACGUUGAGGAACGAAGGCAUUGCGUCACGAAAAGGACUAGGGACCCUAGUAGUCUUUGCAGAAAAUGAUGAGUGCCAUAGAUUAGGUUAAUUCUUAGUCUAUAAAUGAAAGUGUAAGCAUUCCACCUCAAGAGUAAUGCGGCAACGCAGGAACUGAAAUCACUAGACCGUUUCUGACACCAGCAGUGAAGUAUGUUGUUUAAUUCGAUGACCCACGAAAAAUCUUACCACAAUUUGAAUAGAAUAAAGUAAUUAAAACUCCAUCUAAAUUUCCUUUUUUUUUUUGAAUAUUAAGUAUAAUUAAGGUGGUUUAUUCAUAGUAAUUAGAAAGUGAAUAUUGGAUCUUUGGUAGUUUUAGGUAGUUUAUUCAUACAAGUGUUGCACGGCUGUUUCCAGUUAAUGUUGUGAAACUGUGGCAAAAGCCAUGGAAUUAACGUAAACCUGAGCUUUAUUUGUGAAUAUUUUAUUUUGAUAGAGCUACAUCAUCUGCUAUAUUGGAUUUGAUAACAGGGACUAAGACAAGUCAUCAUGGCCUUAAUAUUGUGGGCUAAAGACGUGCCACAUAUUCCUUAACAAAGAGAUGCGAAAUAGCAAUAUUGAGCUAAUCUCAAAAAAGAGGAUAAAAAAUAUAUGGAUUGUAGCCUGAAACUCGGCUGCAUGAAUAAGAAAUUGCUAGUAAUCGUGAAUCACCAUGUCACGGUGAAUAAAACCUUGGAUUGGUACUAACCACUCGUCACAUGCUGAAAGGAGUAUGCGCAAUAAGUUUGCUUUCUUAUUUUAAAUCCAUAGUAAUGAUAGGAUUACAUUUUUUUAAUAGGAUUCUUCGUAUGCGUGAUUCUAAUUAGUGUUAAGUCGAAAUACGGUUCGGGUAGUGGAAGUUGCCCGGGGCUGAUUAACCAUUAACAUAGAAUAAGUCGUAUAUGUCCAGCCUCUUUUUAAGAGAAGCAUAUACACGUUAUUUAAAAGAUUAUUUAACGUAAAAGACUAUGGUACGGGGUGCUAAGCACCCUA
rnacentral:rRNA from 1 species